CCAGGUUUAAUAACAAAGAGACAUUCUCCAGAGACUGAGCAAAGUAAAACAUAGCUGGAAACGGAAGGUGAAAUCUGGUGACAAUCUGUGUAGAACCACCACCUUGAGACCUUUUGAUAUUUAUCUUGAGCAGACUUAGAAAUCAGGCAUAACUUUCCAGGAAGAGCCUUGCAUAACUGUGGCUUGUUGCAAAUUUCUUGUUUUGGAAUCCUAAUCCAUUUACA